rnacentral:lncRNA from 1 species
CAGGUUGAUUUCAGCUAUAUUACAACCACAGGGGCAAUAUUCUGCAGGCAGCUCCACAAAAUGAUAGGUCCACAGAAGUUUUGGGGGUAUAGAAUCAAGCUAUGUGAAGGGCUGAAAUGUGUUGAGUCUCGUGUUAGAAAAUACGGUAGCAUACAAGAUUAAAAAUUAAAAUGUAGCAGAAUAAAAUCAGAUUAAUUCAUGCAUGCAGGCAUGAGACCUCAUAGUUAAGAUUAAGAUUAAAUAAAAU